UGACACAGGGAGGUAGUGACAAGAAAUAACAAUACAGGGCUAUUUUAGUCUUGUAAUUGGAAUGAGUACAAUUUACAUCUCUUCACGAGGAUCAAUUGGAGGGCAAGUCUGGUGCCAGCAGCCGCGGUAAUUCCAGCUCCAAUAGCGUAUAUUAAAGUUGUUGCAGUUAAAACGCUCGUAGUCGGAUUUCGGGGCGGGCCGACCGGUCUGCCGAUGGGUAUGCACUGGCCGGCGCGUCCUUCCACCCGGAGACCGCGCCUACUCUUAACUGAGCGGGCGCGGGAGACGGGUCUUUUACUUUGAAAAAAUCAGAGUGUUUCAAGCAGGCAGUCGCUCUUGCAUGGAUUAGCAUGGGAUAAUGAAAUAGGACUCUGGUGCUAUUUUGUUGGUUUCGACC
rnacentral:rRNA from 1 species